GCGGGAGUAGCUCAGCUGGCAGAGCAUCACUCUUCCAAAGUGAGGGCCGCGGGUUCGAAUCCCGUCUCCCGCUCCA
rnacentral:tRNA from 1 species